GUCUAUGGCCAUGCUAUCCUGAACAUGCCUGAUCUCGUCUGAUCUCGGAAACUAAGCAGGAUUGGGCCUGGUUAGUACUUGGAUGGGAGACCACCUUGGAAUAACAGGUGUUAUAAUAU
rnacentral:rRNA from 1 species